GACGAACGCUGGCGGCGUGCUUAACACAUGCAAGUCGAACGGAAAGGCCCUGCUUUUGUGGGGUGCUCGAGUGGCGAACGGGUGAGUAACACGUGAGUAACCUGCCCUUGACUUUGGGAUAACUUCAGGAAACUGGGGCUAAUACCGGAUAGGAGCUCCUGCUGCAUGGUGGGGGUUGGAAAGUUUCGGCGGUUGGGGAUGGACUCGCGGCUUAUCAGCUUGUUGGUGGGGUAGUGGCUUACCAAGGCUUUGACGGGUAGCCGGCCUGAGAGGGUGACCGGCCACAUUGGGACUGAGAUACGGACCAGAAUCCUACGGGAGGCAGCAGUGGGGAAUAUUGCACAAUGGGCGGAAGCCUGAUGCAGCAACGCCGCGUGCGGGAUGACGGCCUUCGGGUUGUAAACAGCUUUCGCCUGUGACGAAGCGUGAGUGACGGUAAUGGGUAAAGAAGCACCGGCUAACUACGUG
rnacentral:rRNA from 1 species